AUUGAACGCCGGCGGCAUGCCUUACACAUGCAAGUCGAACGGCAGCGGGGGAGAAGCUUGCUUUUCCUGCCGGCGAGUGGCGAACGGGUGAGUAAUACAUCGGAACGUGCCCUGUAGUGGGGGAUAACUAGUCGAAAGAUUAGCUAAUACCGCAUACGACCUGAGGGUGAAAGUGGGGGACCGCAAGGCCUCAUGCUAUAGGAGCGGCCGAUGUCGGAUUAGCUAGUUGGUGGGGUAAAGGCCUACCAAGGCGACGAUCAGUAGCUGGUCUGAGAGGACGAUCAGCCACACUGGGACUGAGACACGGCCCAGACUCCUACGGGAGGCAGCAGUGGGGAAUUUUGGGCAAUGGGCGAAGGCCUGAUCCAGCAAUGCCGCGUGUGUGAAGAAGGCCUCCGGGUUGUAAAGCACUUUUGUCCGGAAAGAAAUGGCUCUGGUUAAUACCUGGGGUCGAUGACGGUACCGGAAGAAUAAGGACCGGCUAACUACGUGCCAGCCGCCGCGGUAA
rnacentral:rRNA from 1 species